GCUCCCUCUCUCUCCCUCUCGCCGGCAUCUUGCUCCGCAUCGCCGCUCACCGCUCCCCACCACACAAAGCUGCCAUUUUUAUUUGUCGGCGACGGCUGCUGGGCGAGGAGGAGCUGGAUCCACAUGCGCUGGUCCUCGAUCUGCUUGUGGAUAGGCGUGAGGAGUCGCUGAAGCGGAGCCCAAGCGGCACCGGCGCGGGCGUGAAGACGACGGCGGGAGGAUCUGGAGCCCGAGCGGGAGGAUCUGGAGCCGCAUCUCAAGUACUCCGGCGACGCAACGGCGCUUGAUGUGGAGCCCCACCGGCGCCGCUGCCGGUGGUGGGGCACCAGUUCUGCGCGCCCUACGUGGUGCCGCUGACGGUGACCAAGAAGGCGCUCAGCCUCUCCGACGGCGACUUCGCCAUCACCGAUGCCAACGGCGCCGUCGUGCUCAAGGUCAAGGGCGCCAUCUUCAGCAUCCGGAGCUGCCGCACCAUCCACGACGGCGCUGGGAUGCCCCUCCUAACCAUGCAAGAAAAGGUGGGGUGUAGUUGAGGUCUGGGAGAUCCAUGUUCUCCAGGCAACUAAAAAGAACUUUCAAGAUUGUUUUAAAGAAGGGCUAUUGAAAAAAGAUGUGUGAGGGCAUCAGUCACUCUCAUGCCGGCAUGCCGCACUUUCAGCUAGCAGGUUGGUAUCUCAACAUUUCUCCAUUCAAGUCAUUUCCCAUAGUGUUUUUUUCGAAGCACUAACUGCAAAUUUGCAUACUAAUAAUGACCGGAGUAUUUUAUUUACAUCAAAUUAUGUCAAACAGUUUAGAUUGUUCAGUCAUACCAUAGUGUUUAAAAGUUUGGACAUUCUGAAGAUUCAAAUAAAAAUAGCCAUGUGCACAGUUUACUUGAUCAUGUCAAGUUACAGGUGAAAGAGACCCUCUUAUGGGAAUAAUGGAGUACAGAAAUGAUAGUGAGUUCCAAGUAAGGCUGAGGUAAAAUUUUCGGAGGCCAUGCUCUAUGUUUUACCACUACCCUUCUUGGUAUUCAUGCUCCUGAUAUUCAUACUCCUAUUCCUACUCAAUUUUACCUGAAAUGAGAGUAGCAAUUAUUUUUGCCCAUUAAUUCAUACUCCUACUGAUUUGGAGUACUGAUGAAACUAAGAAGUCCAAACCUGUGCUAAAUUGACAGUACAUGCUCAUUUUUUGUAUUGACAGUACAAGUCCAAACUUGUAUUGACAGUACAUGUUCUACUCAGUGUUCAUCUUUCAGUGUUCAAUAUCACUGUUCAGUUUCAGUGUUAAAUUUCAGUAUUACUCCAAGAUUGUACUACAUGCAAUUAUUCAAAUUAUUUAAGACAGAUGAUUACAUCAAGUUUAUGAUCAUCAAAUUGUUUACUCGGAUGCAGAGGGAGUAAUGGGCGAGGAGAUGAACCUAGGAGAGCAAAAUUGAGAACUCCAGCUAAAGCAGCUCCUGCCCAGCGGCGAGGACUUCAGCGGCAGCAGCACCUGUGCAUGGGGAGGAACAGCCCCUGGGCGCGCGUAGGCAGCAGCUCGCCUCCACUAGCGGUCGGCAGCAGAGCACCAGCUCGCCUCCACCAGCGGCCGGCAGUAGAUCAGCACCUCGUCUCCACCAGCGGGCGGCAGCAGAGCACCACCUGGGCGCGCGGGGGCCGGGAGGAGCCCCUGGCGUGGGAGAGGAGCGCGGGGGUGGAGGGCAGGUGGCGGAGCCGCGGAGGCGGAGGUGGAGUGCCGGGGCGGAGGUGGAGGGCGGGUGGCAGAGCCGCGGAGGCGGAGGUGGAGUGCCGGGGCGGAGGCGGAGGUGGAAGACGCUG